rnacentral:rRNA from 1 species
ACGGAGGAUGCAAGCGUUAUCCGGAUUUAUUGGGUUUAAAGGGUCCGCAGGCGGAAUAAUAAGUCAGGGGUGAAAGCCUACGGCUCAACCGUAGAACUGCCCUUGAUACUGUUAUUCUAGAGUACAGUUGAGGUUGGAGGAAUGUGCCAUGUAGCGGUGAAAUGCGUAGAUACGGGGCGGAACACCAGUGGCGAAGGCGCUUAACCGGACGGAAACUGACGCUCAGUCACGAAAGCGUGGAGAUCAAACAG